rnacentral:rRNA from 1 species
GACGAACGCUGGCGGCGUGCCUAACACAUGCAAGUCGAGCGGUAAGGCCCUUUCGGGGGUACGACGAGCGGCGAACGGGUGAGUAACACGUGGGUGACCUGCCCUCAGCUCUGGGAUAAGCCUGGGAAACUGGGUCUAAUACCGGAUAUGACUCCAUGACGCAUGUUGUGGGGUGGAAAGCCUUGUGCGGCUGAGGAUGGGCCCGCGGCCUAUCAGCUUGUUGGUGGGGUGAUGGCCUACCAAGGCGACGACGGGUAGCCGGCCUGAGAGGGCGACCGGCCACACUGGGACUGAGAUACGGCCCAGACUCCUACGGGAGGCAGCAGUGGGGAAUCUUGCGCAAUGGGCGAAAGCCUGACGCAGCGACGCCGCGUGAGGGAUGACGGCCU